UCAUCAAAGCGCGUGGGUGGGCCCCUUGUUUCCAGGCUCUUCGCGCAGCCUCCGUGAGGAAGCAGACAGACAGACAGACACACAGACAGACAGACAGACAGACAGGUAGGUGAGUGUGGUCCCGCCGCGGAGCUCGUCUCUCAGACGGACGCCGUCGCGCACCAUGUCGCUUGAGCCUAGAGGAGGAGCCCCUGCCGGGUGUUUUUAACGCGCCAGCGGCGGCGGCGGCGGAGAAAGGGGGGUCGAGAAAUGCGUUUAAAGGAGCCCAGCUGUUGUGUUCGUCCUCACUGUCGACUACAGCCCCGCUGCAGCUCCGCUCACGGCUCCUGUCGCUUCAUGUAACGACGGCACCGCAACCGAGGAGGAGAUCCCCGGGACUAUGUGAGCAUCAUGCUGGCUGUGAGAUGCCUGCUGUUCGCCGCAGUGUGUGCACGGUGCGCAGAGACAGGGCUGAGAGAAUGGGUGAGUCCGGAGGGAAAGCUGCCGCCCGCCGAGGAGGUGGUUCAGCCCAAGCGGCUCCUGCACCAGAUCCACUCCCAUGAGGAGCUGCUCCACAGCCGCCUGGACACGCGGGUCAGAAACCGCCCAGCCGGCGCGCAGCCCGUCCAUCUGGCCCAGAGCAGCUUCCUGGUGGAGGCCUUUGGCGCGUCCUUCAUCCUUGACCUGGAACUCAACCACAAUCUCCUGUCUACAGACUAUGUGGAGCGUCACUUUGAUGAGAAAGGCCAGCUGUCACAGAAUAUGGGAGGCGAGCACUGCUACUACCACGGGAGGGUGCGGGGGCUGCCGGGCUCCUGGGUCGCUUUGUCUACCUGCCACGGCCUGCGGGGGAUGUUUUCUGAUGGAAACUUCUCAUAUGUGAUUGAACCCGUAGGCAGCGGAGAGGAGCAGAACGACCACGUCGUGUAUCGGAUGCCCAGCGUCGACCUUUUCCCUCCGCUCUGUCCGGGAUGCUCGGUGAACAGAACAGAGUCUGACGAGCGGAGGCAGAGGACGAGCGGUGGCGAGGACGAGCUGGAGGACGGGGACGACUUUGAGCCUGAAGAAGUUUUUACAAAAGGCCUGAGACGCUCAAAAAGACAAGUGCGACGAGGCCAGCGCACCGUCCAGACCGAGACCAAGUACAUCGAGCUGAUGGUCGUCAACGACUACGACCUGUUCGUGCAGCUCCGUCGGUCUACGGUUCAGACCAAGAUCUUCGCCAAAUCGGUGGUGAACAUGGCGGAUUUGAUCUACAAGGAGCAGCUCAACACUCGCAUCGUCCUGGUAGCCAUGGAAACGUGGUCGACUGAAAACAGGAUCUCCAUCGGCGACGACGCCUUGCUCACCCUGCGCGACUUCAUGAAGUACAGGAAGGAGAGCAUCAAGGAGCGCUGCGACGCCGUCCACCUCUUCUCUGGCAGGACGUUCAUGAGCAGCCGCAGUGAGGCCGCCUACAUCGGGGGAAUCUGCUCGUUGACUCGGGGCGGAGGCAUCAAUGAGUUUGGCAGCGUCGGUCCCAUGGCCAUCACGCUGUGUCAAAGUCUCGGCCAGAACAUCGGCAUGCUGAGGAACAAGGAGCGAACGGCUGCAGGAUCCUGCAGGUGUCCAGAUCCAUGGCUGGGAUGCAUCAUGGAGGAUACGGGCUACUACCUUCCCAGGAAGUUCUCCCGCUGCAGUAUCGAUGAGUACCUGCGUUUCCUCCAACAGGGAGGAGGCAGCUGCCUCUUCAACAAACCCACAAAGUUGUUGGACCCUUCAGAGUGUGGCAACGGAUACGUGGAGCCGGGAGAGGAGUGUGACUGUGGAUCAUUAGUGGAGUGCUCUCAGAGCGGAGCCAGCUGCUGUAAGAAGUGUACUCUGACCCACAACGCCAUGUGCAGCAACGGGCUCUGCUGCAGGAACUGCAAGUACGAGCUGAGAGGAGUGAUGUGCCGCGACGCUGUGAAUGACUGCGACAUUCCUGAGACCUGCGCAGGAGACUCCAGCCAGUGUCCUCAUAACGUCCACAAACUGGACGGCUACAUGUGCGACGCCGGACAGGGUCGUUGUUACGGAGGUCGCUGUAAGACCAGAGAUGGCCAGUGCAGGACUCUGUGGGGCUACAACUCAGCCGACAGAUUUUGCUACGAAAAGCUCAACUCUGAGGGUACAGAGAAGGGAAACUGUGGCCCGGACUCCGGUGGUCAGGGAUGGGUGCAGUGCAACAAACAAGACGUCCUGUGCGGUUUGCUGCUCUGCACCAACCUGACGGAGAGGCCGAGGUUCGGUGAACUCCAGGGGAAGAUCACCAGUCUGACCAUCCACCACCAGAACAGAUACCUGGACUGUCGGGGCGGUCACGCGGUGCUGGACGACGGCCUGGACCUGGGCUACGUGGAGGACGGGACGCCGUGCGGACCCAACAUGAUGUGUCUGGAGCGCCGCUGCCUCCCCGUCACCACCUUCAACCUCAGCAUCUGCCCGGGCUCCUCCACCUCACGCAUCUGCUCCCACCACGGGACUUGCAGCAACGAGGUGAGGUGUAUCUGCGAUCCGGAUUACACGGGGAAGGACUGCAGCGUGUUUGAUCCGAUCCCCACGCCCACUCCACCGGAGGGCCCUGAGAAGUACAAAGGUCCCAGUGGCACCAAUAUUAUAAUAGGCUCGGUUGCAGGUGCAAUUCUGCUGGCAGCCAUAGUCCUUGGGGGAACUGGCUGGGGGUUUAAGUAAGCGCUCUGGCAUGCCUCCGUCUGUGUGUGCGCCUGCCGUGUGCCUCUGUCGGCUAACGUUCGUGUUGCCUGCGGCUCGUUUCUGAAUGCUGCCCCCUGCUUGCUGCCUCUUCCACACUCACCACCACCACCACCACAGAGAACGCGUGGUCUCUUUAGAGGAGGAACAUCCGAAAGGGAAGAUCUUCGGGGGUUUGAGUCGUCUCUCUGCGCUGCCCUGUCUUCCUUCACACUGUGUGCAAGUCAACUCUGAGAAGACUAAAAAGCAAAGAUGUCUUCCGCUCCAGACUCUUUACGUUUCCUUUUCUGACUUUGCCGACCACGUCCUCGGCCGUCGGACGCCCCGAGGGACUCACAGAUCUAAACAGAGGAGGGCAUCAGGGAUCGUCUGGUUUUGAUUCAUCUCUUUCUUCUAGACACCUUUUUUUUCCAGCCUUUUUGGUUUCCAGCUGAUCUUCUCCUGCACUGACUGUUACUAUGCUUCACCCCUUUAAGUGAUGUCACGGUAGAAAGCACUUCUCAUAACCUGGACAUUUUUAAUUGAAGCCUCAGCCACCUCCUCUCAGUGGUGUGAAUUUACCUGCAAUAGUAUAAAUAUCACCAAAAACUGAAUCUCGUCAUGUGUAGAUGAAGGUUUUUUUUUCCUUUACAUUCCACAGUAAAAGGCUGUAACGUCUAAUCUUAUGCUGCCUUUUCCUUAUGAGACAGUCUUAAACCAGUGCUUCGACGUCAUAUAACGUAUGAAUGUACAGGACUUUGUACUUUACUCCAGCCUCCGGUGUUCUGAAUGUCUGAUCCCGCUGUAUGAUAACAUGUAAUCUGCAUACAAACUAUAUGCAUACAAGUAUGCUGAAAAUACAUGGGUGCUGUUGUAUAUAGUGUCGUUUAGACAGCAGUGACUCACUGCCGCUCUAAAUGGAAGCACAAGCCUGGAGACUGAGACUGAAAAAUGCUCGUUUUGUGAGCAUGUUGGUCAAGUUCAGUAAGAAACGUGAGCUCUUUUUAAUAUCCAGAUGUCGCAGUUAAAGCCUUUGCAGAGAUUUUGAAGUUUCAAGUAGCAAAACUACGACACAAAACAAAAAUUUCUGAGCUCAGAUUUAUGUGGCGGCCCUGAAGGUCAAAGCAAGACAACAUUCCAGAAAACACAACGACAUUUCAGAAAGCACGACAUUUCAGAAAACACCAUGACAUUACAGAUGUCACAAGAUUUCAGAAAACACAUCGAUAUUAUAGAAAACAACAUUUCAGAAAAUACAAUGACAUUACAGAAAACACAAUGACAUUUCAGAAAAGUCGACAUUACAGAAAACACAACAAUGUUACAGAAAACACAACAUUCCAGAAAACACAACGACAUUCCAGAAAACAUGAUAUUUCAGAAAACACAACGAAAUUUCAGAAAAAACGACAUUUCAGAAAAACACAACAACGUUACAGAAAACACGACAAUUCUGAGAAACGCAAUGACAUUCCAGAGAACACAACAACAUUCCAGAAAACACAACAACAUUACAGAGAACCUACCGAUAUUAUAGGAAACACAACAUUUCAGAAAACAUAACGACAUUCCAGAAAACACAACAAAAUUUCAGAAAACACCACAUUACUGAAAACACAAC